rnacentral:rRNA from 1 species
CAAAAACAUGUCCUUUUGUUUAUUGAUUUAAGGUCUGACCUGCCCGAUGAGGAGUUGAAUGGCCGCAGUAUUUUAACUGUGCUAAGGUAGCAUAAUCAUUUGUCUUUUAAUUGAGGGCUGGAAUGAAGGGUUGGACGAGGUAUUAGCUUUCUUUAAUUUAGUUAGAAGAAUUUAAUUUUUGAGUUAAAAAGCUUAAAUUUAUUUGUGGGACGAGAAGACCCUAUAGAUCUUUAUAGUUUAAUAUUUUAGUAAUUUAGGGAUUUAUGUAUUUUAAGUAGAAGAACUAUUUUGUUGGGGUGACUGUAGAAUUUGAAUAACUUCUAUUUUUUAUUUUCAUUAAUUAGUGUUUUAAUGAUCCAUAUUUUAUGAUUAGAAGAUUAAGUUACCUUAGGGAUAACAGCGUGAUUUCCUCGGAGAGUUCAUAUUGAUGGGGGAGUUUGCGACCUCGAUGUUGGAUUAAAAUAAGUUAUGGAUGCAGGAGUCUAUUUACUAGGUCUGUUCGACCUUUAAAUUUUUACAUGAUCUGAGUUCAAAAACCGGGAGA